rnacentral:rRNA from 1 species
UUGGGAAUCUUAGGCAAUGGACGAAAGUCUGACCGAGCAACGCCGCGUGAGUGAAGAAGGUUUUCGGAUCGUAAAACUCUGUUGUUAGAGAAGAACAAGGACGUUAGUAACUGAACGUCCCCUGACGGUAUCUAACCAGAAAGCCAAGGCUAAAUACGUGCAAGCAGCCGCGGUAAUACGUAGGUGGCUAGCGUUGUCCGGAUUUAUUGGGCGUAAAGCGAGCGCAGGCGGUUUCUUAAGUCUGAUGUGAAAGCCCCCGGCUCAACCGUGGAGGGUCAUUGGAAACUGGGAGACUUAAGUGCAUAAGAUGAGAGUGUAAUUCCAUGUGUAGCGGUGAUAUGCGUAGAUAUAUGGAUAAACACCGGUUGCGAAGGCGGCUCUCUGGUCUGUAACUGACGCUGAGGCUCGAAAGCGUGGAGAGCAAACAGG